UUUCUGAAAAAAAAAGUUGAAUAUUCAAAAUUGUGCACGAAGAUGGUGUGCACCCGGUGGCAAAUCCAUCCAGAAGCGACCUUAGAUCUUCGCAGGACUAUUUCGGCGGGGAUGUCGGCCCAAAUCACGUACAAACAUGACCUGGUUCCUAUCCGCCAUAAACUCUACAGCGCGGGCACGAACCAGCGACUAACGGGCGACAAGCGCACACGUUAACCAUUC
ensembl:ncRNA C10C6.11 ncRNA